UGGGGAAUAUUGGACAAUGGGCGCAAGCCUGAUCCAGCCAUGCCGCGUGAGUGAUGAAGGCCCUAGGGUUGUAAAGCUCUCUCACCGGAGAAGAUAAUGACGGUAACCGGAGAAGAAGCCCCGGCUAACUUCGUGCCAGCAGCCGCGGUAAUACGAAGGGGGCUAGCGUUGUUCGGAUUUACUGGGCGUAAAGCGCACGUAGGCGGACUAUUAAGUCAGGGGUGAAAUCCCGGGGCUCAACCCCGGAACUGCCUUUGAUACUGGUAGUCUUGAGUUCGAGAGAGGUGAGUGGAAUUCCGAGUGUAGAGGUGAAAUUCGUAGAUAUUCGGAGGAACACCAGUGGCGAAGGCGGCUCACUGGCUCGAUACUGACGCUGAGGUGCGAAAGCGUGGGGAGCAAACAGG
rnacentral:rRNA from 1 species